rnacentral:rRNA from 2 species
UAUUGAUUGGUGCUUGCAUCAUGAUUUACAUUUGAGUGAGUGGCGAACUGGUGAGUAACACGUGGGAAACCUGCCCAGAAGCGGGGGAUAACACCUGGAAACAGAUGCUAAUACCGCAUAACAACUUGGACCGCAUGGUCCGAGUUUGAAAGAUGGCUUCGGCUAUCACUUUUGGAUGGUCCCGCGGCGUAUUAGCUAGAUGGUGGGGUAACGGCUCACCAUGGCAAUGAUACGUAGCCGACCUGAGAGGGUAAUCGGCCACAUUGGGACUGAGACACGGCCCAAACUCCUACGGGAGGCAGCAGUAGGGAAUCUUCCACAAUGGACGAAAGUCUGAUGGAGCAACGCCGCGUGAGUGAAGAAGGGUUUCGGCUCGUAAAACUCUGUUGUUAAAGAAGAACAUAUCUGAGAGUAACUGUUCAGGUAUUGACGGUAUUUAACCAGAAAGCCACGGCUAACUACGUGCCAGCAGCCGCGGUAAUACGUAGGUGGCAAGCGUUGUCCGGAUUUAUUGGGCGUAAAGCGAGCGCAGGCGGUUUUUUAAGUCUGAUGUGAAAGCCUUCGGCUCAACCGAAGAAGUGCAUCGGAAACUGGGAAACUUGAGUGCAGAAGAGGACAGUGGAACUCCAUGUGUAGCGGUGAAAUGCGUAGAUAUAUGGAAGAACACCAGUGGCGAAGGCGGCUGUCUGGUCUGUAACUGACGCUGAGGCUCGAAAGUAUGGGUAGCAAACAGGAUUAGAUACCCUGGUAGUCCAUACCGUAAACGAUGAAUGCUAAGUGUUGGAGGGUUUCCGCCCUUCAGUGCUGCAGCUAACGCAUUAAGCAUUCCGCCUGGGGAGUACGGCCGCAAGGCUGAAACUCAAAGGAAUUGACGGGGGCCCGCACAAGCGGUGGAGCAUGUGGUUUAAUUCGAAGCUACGCGAAGAACCUUACCAGGUCUUGACAUACUAUGCAAAUCUAAGAGAUUAGACGUUCCCUUCGGGGACAUGGAUACAGGUGGUGCAUGGUUGUCGUCAGCUCGUGUCGUGAGAUGUUGGGUUAAGUCCCGCAACGAGCGCAACCCUUAUUAUCAGUUGCCAGCAUUAAGUUGGGCACUCUGGUGAGACUGCCGGUGACAAACCGGAGGAAGGUGGGGAUGACGUCAAAUCAUCAUGCCCCUUAUGACCUGGGCUACACACGUGCUACAAUGGAUGGUACAACGAGUUGCGAACUCGCGAGAGUAAGCUAAUCUCUUAAAGCCAUUCUCAGUUCGGAUUGUAGGCUGCAACUCGCCUACAUGAAGUCGGAAUCGCUAGUAAUCGCGGAUCAGCAUGCCGCGGUGAAUACGUUCCCGGGCCUUGUACACACCGCCCGUCACACCAUGAGAGUUUGUAACACCCAAAGUCGGUGGGGUAACCUUUUAGGAA